rnacentral:rRNA from 1 species
UUUGAUGGCGACCGGCGCACGGGUGAGUAACACGUAUCCAACCUGCCGAUGACUCGGGGAUAGCCUUUCGAAAGAAAGAUUAAUACCCGAUGGCAUAGUUCUUCCGCAUGGUAGAACUACUAAAGAAUUUCGGUCAUCGAUGGGGAUGCGUUCCAUUAGGUUGUUGGCGGGGUAACGGCCCACCAAGCCUUCGAUAGAUAGGGGUUCUGAGAGGAAGGUCCCCCACAUUGGAACUGAGACACGGUCCAA